GGGUGAGUAACACGUGGAUAACCUACCUAUAAGACUGGGAUAACUUCGGGAAACCGGAGCUAAUACCGGAUAAUAUAUUGAACCGCAUGGUUCAAUAGUGAAAGACGGUUUUGCUGUCACUUAUAGAUGGAUCCGCGCCGCAUUAGCUAGUUGGUAAGGUAACGGCUUACCAAGGCAACGAUGCGUAGCCGGCCUGAGAGGGUGAUGGCCACACUGGAACUGAGACACGGUCCAG
rnacentral:rRNA from 1 species